rnacentral:lncRNA from 1 species
UUGCAGGCAUCCUGGGAAAGAGGGCUGGACUGUGUGACUUUCUGAUCCCUGACCCUGAGAGCACCCGUGGUGUCUGCUGGGAGCUGUAGUUUGUCAGGGUAUCAGAGGAGUGUGGUGGUGGAUCACUCAUCAGGGAAGGAGAAGGAGAGGGGUGGGGUGACAUGGCUGACUGGGUGGAUAGGGGUUCGUCUUGUGAUGGAAUCGACAUGUUCCUAGAGGACAGAGCAUCUGGAGGUGAUGGUGUUGAUGGCGACAUGGUGGAUAACGGUUUUGGAGGUGACCUGUAGGACACAGGGCUUCCUGGUGACACGGUAGAGAGAGGGUUCCUGGGUGACCUGCUGGAUAAUUGUUUCCUAGGUGACUGAGAGUAUGGCAAGGUGGACGAUAAGGGUUCUGAUGGUGAUGGCGAUGACUGAGAUCUCAGGGAGAGAGGUGACAGAGGUGACAACCUGUCAGGCAGGUGUUUGGGAGGUGAGGGGGGGUGAAUAAACCUGGAGGCCCGGGGAGGUAACAGAGGUGACAACCUGUCAGGCAGGUGUUUGGGAGGUGAGGGGGGGUGAAUAAACCUGGAGGCCUGGGGAGGUAACAGAGGUGACAACCUGUCAGGCAGGUGUUUGGGAGGUGAGGGGGGGUGAAUAAACCUGGAGGCCUGGGGAGGUAACAGAGGUGACAACCUGUCAGGCAGGUGUUUGGGAGGUGAGGGGGGGUGAAUAAACCUGGAGGCCCGGGGAGGUAACAGAGGUGACUCCGGCUCUGUGGGGCUGGAAGGUGAGAGAGUGAAUGUGGACCUGAGGGAGUGCAGAGUGGGUGGAGCGGGAGACAGAGAGGAUGGGGGCCCUGCAGAUAAGAGGUCUGGGUUGGGUGGAGCAGGAGACAGAGAGGAUGGGGGCCCUGCAGAUAAGAGGUCUGGGUUGGGUGUAGAGGGAGAAGGGCUGGGGGGUGAGGGGUCUACAGAUAAGAGGUCUGGGUUGGGUGUAGAGGGAGAAGGGCUGGGGGAUGAGGGGUCUACAGAUAAGAGGUCUGGGUUGUACGAGCGGUCAGUUCGUGUGGACUUGGCUGGUGUCUUGGUUGACGACCCAGGGGUCUUUGGUCCUCUGGGCUGUGGUGACCCAGUGGUGAACCUUGGUGACCGUACACUAGUGUGGUCAGGU